rnacentral:rRNA from 1 species
ACGGAAGGCAGCAGUGGGGAAUAUUGCACAAUGGGGGAAACCCUGAUGCAGCGACGCCGCGUGGGUGAAGAAGUUUUUCGGUAUGUAAAGCUCUAUCAGCAGGGAAGAUGAUGACGGUACCUGACUAAGAAGCCCCGGCUAACUACGUGCCAGCAGCCGCGGUAAUACGUAGGGGGCAAGCGUUAUCCGGAUUUACUGGGUGUAAAGGGAGCGUAGGCGGCUGUGCAAGUCAGAUGUGAAAACCCGGGGCUUAACUCCGGGACUGCAUUUGAAACUGCGUAGCUUGAGUACUGGAGAGGCAAGCGGAAUUCCUAGUGUAGCGGUGAAAUGCGUAGAUAUUAGGAAGAACACCGGUGGCGAAGGCGGCUUGCUGGACAGAGACUGACGCUGAGGCUCGAAAGCGUGGGGAGCAAACAGGAUUAGAUACCCUGGUA